rnacentral:rRNA from 1 species
CGUCGCCGCGGUAAUACGAAGGGUGCAAGCGUUAAUCGGAAUUACUGGGCGUAAAGCGUGCGUAGGCGGUUUGUUAAGUCUGCUGUGAAAUCCCCGGGCUCAACCUGGGAAUGGCAGUGGAUACUGGCAAGCUAGAGUGUGUCAGAGGAUGGUGGAAUUCCCGGUGUAGCGGUGAAAUGCGUAGAGAUCGGGAGGAACAUCAGUGGCGAAGGCGGCCAUCUGGGACAACACUGACGCUGAGGCACGAAAGCGUGGGGAGCAAACAGGAUUAGAUACCCCGGUAGUCCCUGUCUCUUAUACA